rnacentral:lncRNA from 1 species
GAUUUUCUGGCUCUCUGUCUAUCAGCUCCUCCCUCUGUUCACAGCAGACACUCUGAGGUCUAGCUCACCCUUUGUGUUAAGUGUUAACUCUUUUGUAAAAGUUCUCAAGCUCCUCUCCAUGCACUCCUAGUCUGUAACAUGAAGUAGCCCUGGAUUCUAGUCAUUUUUGGGGAGUAUGCCGUCUGCCUCAUGACAAUUUUAUUUUUGGCUUCCCAAGUUCCUUAAAAGAACAUUGAUGGCAGAGAUCCUAGCUCAUUUUCCCUCCACCUAAAAGAGCUCUCUCUCAACCCAUAACACUUACAAGAUGUGAGCAGGUAACCUCGGGGAUGACAAAUACUACUGUUUGCCACGAUCUCCAAUCUAAGAGGUUUGUGGAAAUACAUUUUUUUCACAUCUGUGUAUUAUUUCCCUAUUUGCUUUAUUUAAAUACUUGGACACAUUUUCCUCUUUGAAAAAUAUUUGACUAUCUUCUGCUUCCCCACAUUACUUAGGUUUGUUUAUGUCUACUAGAAAUUUGAUAGACAAUAAAAAACAUUUAUUGAGCACCUAGUAUAUCCUGAGAAAAAUGCUGAUUAGGGUUGACCAUACCAGAUGAAGUUUGCACAGGCAACAUUAUCUCAUAAGGUGGAUUCUGUUAUCAACAGAGUGAUCUGGGGGCCUUACGUGAGGCCAGAUUGUCAGGGACGGCUCUAAUUUGGCAAGUCAAAUCCGAGAGGACUGAGAGAGACAUACUUAUUUUUUUGAGCAUUUCUAGGACAUUUCACUCCCUAGAGAUAAACCCACGUGUGACAUCCACUUCCUGGUUCUCCUUGCUCCAAAGCACGUGGCUCUUCUAGACUCUGGAGGCUUUUGCCAUCACAAAUGAAAACGAAGGCAGAUGCUAUCAGUCAGAAGCAAGAAGAGAAAGGUGUGAGGACAACAUGAGAGGGUGCCGCAGGGACUGUCCCUGUCCAGAUAGUUCCAGCCUUGGUGGAAUUUAAUGCAGAAGAGAUGACAUGUCAGAGUGACUGGAGCAUGAGGCGAUCGUAUGCACACGAUGAAGCUUUGCAUAAAGAAACAACAGGCUAAGAGAGUCUCCUGAGAAAAGCUGGGCUUGUGAGAUAACCAGCCCUACUCGGAGAAGCUUUGGAAAAAGAAAAACAAAAACUCAACUUUACAACUGUAUAUCUGGACCAAACACCUGAGGGACUGUCGGUAAAUCCUUUACUAUAUGACACUGCCCAUGCCUGGAAAUGAGGGAUAGCGUAUACUCCAAGGAACAACAUCUCUUGUAGGGUUUCACUUCCUGAAAAGCUACUGAAGAAAAAAACCAUUGAAGUCAUGGGACAAAGGGCUAUUCCUCUGAGUUAAAUAACAAUGUCCCCUGGAGGGAGAAUUCCACUUCUUCUGCCAACCAGCAACCCUGCUGGCAGCUGUGUUUGAGAAAAGCGUGCCUAUCAACUAAUGAUGCCUAACCCCUCUCCUGGCUCCUGAAUGGAGAGUCUGUGUUGGUGGUAUUGAUACCCACCAUUAACAAAAACUUCGCUUACUUUCAAAAAUGUAGAUCCUUUUAUGAAUUCUUCAUCAUAACAAAGGCAAUGGUUUCCCAUUUUUGUCUUAAUUGUAUGUUUGCCCAAAUUUGAUGGAUCAUGUUUUGGUUUUUAUAUAAUUUUCUUUUUCCAGAUUUCCAUUUAGGGUCCUCAGGCUGAAACUAGGCAUAUCCCAUGGCCCAGGCUGGUUGGACACAACUAAAUCUACAUAAAUCUCCAUUGAGUCUCCGAGGAGAUUCGAUGAGAAAAUAUUUUAGGAAACAGCGUUAUGAGUCUCUGUGCUCAGUGAUAUUUAAGUUGGCUGACCAUUUCAAUUUUGGAAAUUAUAGUCCAUUAACAUGAAAAAAAGGCAAUUACAUGUUUGUAUAUUUCUACCUAUGCUUGUGCUUUUUGCAAAUGUUUAUAAAGAGUGGCAUGAUAAAAUAAAAUAAUUUUGUGUUUG